UAGAGCAAAGGAGAUUCUGUUUGAACAUCAGGAAGCGUUUCUUUACUGUACGGGUGAUGGAGCACUGGCACAGGCUGCCCAGAAAGUCUCCUUCUCGGAGAACUUCAAAAGCCGCCUGGGCAUGGUUCUGGGCAUCCUGCUCUGUGUGACCCUGUAGGGGGAUACGGACCUGAAGACCAGUGGUUCCUUCCAACCUCAACCAUUCUGUCAUUCAAAAACUGAGCACAGUACUUCCAUAUGUUUACAAGUGUCCUUUAUGUGCUCAGCAAUGACAUCCAAGAGGAUCAGAGGCAAGGCUGAGUUCCAUGUAGUGGUUUGGAUCCUCAUCGCUCUCUCUGAAGAUGGCUUUUUGCCAGUCAUCAGGAACCUCUCUCAAUUCCUAUGAUCAUUUAAAGUCAGUAGAGAGCAGCCUUGUGAUGAAAUCAACCGAGAUGCAGCUUGUCUGGGAUCUUGAAUUUGCGUAUGUGCAGCUAUCUUUAGUGGUCCCUGAUUUGAUCAUCCUUUGUUGUAGGUAUCACCUGAUGCUUCUGCUUGGGAGUCACAAUCUUCAGGAAAAAGUUUUCAAGUGCACCGGCAGAAUAAGCAAAAAAUGGGAUGCGUGGAAUGAAGCUCAGGGUGCAGAUGGGAAUAUUCCUUCUCUAUAGGAAUCUCAAGUAGGAAAUACCAAUGACAGUGAGGUUAGAUCACACUGUCUCUUUUAAUACAAGUAAGAAGGAUUCUUGCGUCUUGCUCCUAUUUUAAAGGCAUGCAUCUGGAGGGGAAAAAACACAGAAAACAAAAAGGUGGUAGGCUGAAAAAUAAAAUAUUAAGGUCAGUGUUAUGUUUGUGUUUGAAAUAAAUGUAUUUUUAAAAAUUGAGUAAAAAAUACAAAGACAUCAGUCAAUUGACAAACAUGGAGGUAAUGACCAAGUUUCUGAAGGAAGAAAGAUUACAAGGAAUGAGAUUGCCAUUAAGCACAAACUUUAGGCUACAAUUUCAACUGAAAUACGUAUUAAAUAAUGAAACUUUAUAAGCUGUACUUGGAUAAGGAAGUACAAGAGAGGAGAUCUCUGCUGCAUUCUGUCUGGCCUUAAUUGCCCUCAUGAGUCACAGCGAUGCCAAUAUAUAAGGAGAAAAUGGCUUCUGAGGCAAAUCCAGGGCUAUGUUUAAGUAUUUUACAGUAGGGCUGUUGUUGUUCAGACUUGACUGACAGAGACAGCAGAGGAUCUACUGUGUCAGAAUAUUGAAGUAACAAUAACAAAUUGAAAACAUUAGACAGGAUGAUGCAGAGUAACCUAUCCUACUGCAUCUAUGAAUGCCUCCUCUUACUCACUGGUGUCCACAAGCUUUUCCCUUUUCCUUUUUCCUUUUUUUCCUUCAUUUUCCUUCUCCUUUUCCUCCUUUUUCUUCCUUUUUUCCCCCUAUUUUUUUCUUUUUUUUCCCCUUAUUCCUUUUCUAAUCCUUUUUCAUCUUUCUUUCUCAGAACAUGAUUUAGAGUUAUCCAUUAAAAUGUCAGAUAUGCUUAUUUUUGACACCCCUCUUAAUUCUUUCCUUGUAUUUAGAUAUAAAUUCUUAUUUUCUGGAAAAUUAGCUUAAUUCUAUGGUAAAGGAAGAUUAAUAUGCUCUUUAUGUGCUGCCACUUUCAGUUCACUAUAAAACUGCUGUGGUGCAGCCUGAUCAGCUAUUUCUGUUGGCACACAACAGAGCUGGACUUUUGCCUAGAGUAGCACAAUCUUUUUAUUUGCUGGAGAAACAGCUAGUCACCACCUCAGCUAUAUGAUACUCUGCCUACUGCUAUGCAGGGACGUAGUUGCUCACUGUUUGUGCUUGUGCCCACACCUCUAAAGCUCGGUGAUGUCCACACAUUAUCAUUUCAUUUCUUUUGCUAGCACUUCUUUGUAUUUCUGGUUUUUUAUGUGUUUCUGUUGGUUUCUUUCCACUUCGUGCUCUCAGCUGGUGCCUGACUUGACUACUUGCUCACAGUUGUCAUGCCAACU